UUGCAAGUCGUACGCCCCGCAAGGGGCGUGGCGUAAGGGUGAGUAAUGCGACGGUAACCAACCCCAAGGCCGGGUAUAGCCACGGGAAACUGUGGGUAAUCCCCGGCGAGGUCCGUGAGGGACAUCCCUUGUGGAUCAAAGGUGCGAUUCCGCCUUGGGACGGGCCGUCGUGGUAUCAGGUAGUUGGUGGGGUGACGGCCCACCAAGCCGACGACGCCUACCGGGCGUGCGAGCGUGGCCCGGCACACUGGGACUGAGACACUGCCCAGACACCUACGGGUGGCUGCAGUCGAGAAUCUUCGGCAAUGGGCGAAAGCCUGACCGAGCGACGCCGCGUGGAGGAUGAAGGCCUUCGGGUUGUAAACUCCUGUCGAGGGGGACUAAGGUGCUGUGCAGAGCAGCGCUUGAGGUAUCCCUGGAGGAAGCACGGGCUAAGUUCGUGCCAGCAGCCGCGGUAAGACGAACCGUGCGAACGUUAUUCGGAAUCACUGGGCUUAAAGCGCGUGUAGGUGGCUUGACACGUCCGUCGCUGAAAUCCCCCGGCUUAUCCGGGGAACUGGCGUGGAUACGAUCAGGCUUGAGGGAUGUAUGGGGAUCGGGAACUUCCGGUGGAGCGGUGAAAUGCGUUGAGAUCGGAAGGAACGCCCGUGGCGAAAGCGCGGUCCUGGACAUUUCCUGACACUGAGACGCGAAAGCUAGGGGAGCAAACGGGAUUAGAUACCCCGGUAGUCCUACCCGUAUACGAUGGGCACUGGGGUAGGGCAUUCCCCGAUGGAUUCGCUGCCGUAGCGAAAGCGUGCAA
rnacentral:rRNA from 1 species